rnacentral:rRNA from 1 species
GGAAUAUUGGACAAUGGGCGAAAGCCUGAUCCAGCAAUGCCGCGUGAGUGAUGAAGGCCUUAGGGUUGUAAAGCUCUUUUACCAGGGAUGAUAAUGACAGUACCUGGAGAAUAAGCUCCGGCUAACUCCGUGCCAGCAGCCGCGGUAAUACGGAGGGAGCUAGCGUUGUUCGGAAUUACUGGGCGUAAAGCGUACGUAGGCGGUUAUUCAAGUCAGAGGUGAAAGCCUGGAGCUCAACUCCAGAACUGCCUUUGAAACUAGAUAGCUAGAAUCUUGGAGAGGUGAGUGGAAUUCCGAGUGUAGAGGUGAAAUUCGUAGAUAUUCGGAAGAACACCAGUGGCGAAGGCGACUCACUGGACAAGUAUUGACGCUGAGGUACGAAAGCGUGGGGAGCAAACAGGAUUAGAUACCCUGGUAGUCCACGCCGUAAACGAUGAUAACUAGCUGUUCGGGCUCUACGAGCUUGAGUGGCGCAGCUAACGCAUUAAGUUAUCCGCCUGGGGAGUACGGUCGCAAGAUUAAAACUCAAAUGAAUUGACGG